CCCUUAGAUGUUCUGGGCCGCACGCGCGCUACACUGAUGCGUUCAACAAGUUUCCUUGGCCGAGAGGCCUGGGCAAUCUUCUUAAUAUGUAUCGUGAUAGGGAUAGAUUAUUGCAAUUAUUAAUCUUGAACGAGGAAUCCCUAGUAAACGCAGAUCAUCAAUCUGCAUUGAUUACGUCCCUGCCCUUUGUACACACCGCCCGUCGCACCUACCGAUUGGAUGUUCCGGUGAAGCCUCGGGAUGAGGACUGGUGCCUUUAUUGGCAUGAGUUGUUCAGAACUUGUCUAAACCUUAUCAUCUAGAGGAAGGUGAAGUCGUAACA
rnacentral:rRNA from 1 species